rnacentral:lncRNA from 1 species
AUUUAAGAAAAAAAAAAAAAAAUAUAUAUAUAUAUAUAAAUAAUUAUAACUGUCUCAGGGGCUAUUAUUUGUCUUUUCUGUCUUCUUAUUCAAUCCCCUAUUGUUGAAUGACUCCACACCCCCAGGAACAGGAAGAGCCAAGUCCAAGAGCAAAGGAGUAUGGGGCAGCAAAACAUCUACAACUGCUGCUAGGCCAGCACUUCCACCUAAUGAAGGCUUGUCUGUUUCCACACCGUCCCCAAACACACCUGGUCCGGCCUUCUUCUGUGACAUCACACUUCAACAGCUGCUGCCUUUGGCCUACAAGCUCAAGUUCUAAGCCCUUGAGCCAGAAUUCAAGGCGCCCCCAUCUGCCCCACUCCAAUUCCCAACUGCCCUCUUUCCACCCGCCCUACAAACUGUUCCAACUGCCCAGCCAGUUCCCAGCCUUCCGAAGACGCCUUGCAGUCUCCCUCUCCUGGUACCCAGAGCACAACCCAGCUCUCCCUACACAAGCUCAUCUUUCUGGGAAGCUGUUCCCUUCUUGGAUUGAUGGAUUCUAUCAGGGGCAGGCUGUGACUUUUUGUCAUCAUAGACAAAAAACACACACACAGAGAAAAUGGCUGCAGUGAUGGCAGCCUCCUACAGGCCAUCAGCAUAGGGGUCUAAUGCAGAAGAAGAGAGAAAAACUAUGGAAAGUUCUGAAGGCUAAAAAACUUUUGAGAGGGAAAAUGAGGGAGACAGACUCAGAUCCAUAAUUAUAGAAGCUGUGUGCAAGAUUUAAUUAAAACUUGGGUGGAAAUGAACACCCAGAAACAAGUGUCAUUCAUCAACUCAAAGCACCAACUAAGGUAAACACUGCCACCAACUCAGGGAAAGAAGGGAGGAGAAAAGAAAGAGGGGUGAUCACUCUAGAUAUCAACCAAAUCAAAUUACCCUGAAGGGCCUGCCAGACACACGAAUUAAUCAUCGGUUAUCCCAGUUGCACACCUGUACGGAGAAGAGACCCUGGCAUGCGCAGAGCGAGCCAGCUGAGACUGGGCAAGCAAGAGGGACAGGGACACAGGCCAACAGGAGCCCAGCCUGGUAGUAGCCACGUGGCACCCUCCACUAUCCCGUGCCAGAUGGAGAAAGGAGGGGCAGAGUUGGGUUCCUGCAGGGCCGGCCAUCCAGGUUCUCCAGCCAAGUUACUUCCU